rnacentral:lncRNA from 1 species
GCCGCAUCCGUGUUCAUCCACAACCUUUAUAUAUGUUAUGCAUUAUCAUAAAAUACAACUUACAUUUCAAUAUUAAGGAUGAACACUUUCGUUUUACACGGAAACCGUCUAAAAUUUACCUAAAAUGCUAGAAUUUUGAAGAUUUCAGUAAUUUAGCAUGACUUAAUGGUGCUACAACCCGAUAUAUGUGCAUUGUAUGGUCAAAAACAGCCCAUAUUUAUGUAGCAGAAGCAUUCAACUGUCCAAUAAAUAACUAAAAGUUUACAUUUUAACAAUUUUGUAAAACUGUUAUAUUUUUGGGCC